CCUCGGGAUGCACCAGUGAGGAAUAUUGCACAAUGGACGAAAGUCUGAUGCAGCAACGCCGCGUGGAGGAUGACACAUUUCGGUGCGUAAACUCCUUUUAUAUAAGAAGAUAAUGACGGUAUUAUAUGAAUAAGCACCGGCUAACUCCGUGCCAGCAGCCGCGGUAAUACGGGGGGUGCAAGCGUUACUCGGAAUCACUGGGCGUAAAGCGCAUGUAGGCGGACUUGUAAGUUGGAAGUGAAAUCCUAUGGCUCAACCAUAGAACUGCUUCCAAAACUGCUUGUCUAGAAUAUGGGAGAGGUAGAUGGAAUUUCUGGCGUAGGGGUAAAAUCCGUAGAGAUCAGAAGGAAUACCGAUUGCGAAGGCGAUCUACUGGAACAUUAUUGACGCUCAGACGCGAAAGCGUGGGGAGCAAACAGGAUUAGAUACCCCAGUAGUC
rnacentral:rRNA from 1 species